AACAUAUGUAAAUAAGUUUCUAUGAUAUAUACAUAUACAAAGCUUAUAUGUAUAUAUUUGUUUACAUAACUAUGUCAACCUUGCUUAUGGUGAUUUUUUUUAACAUGCAAAUAUUAUUUUUUAUUUGUAAGUAACCAAAUCUACCAACUUCUCUUGCGUAGUUUCUGGCCAUUUCAAUAACCAUCUGAUCCACUAGAUUUCCUGCUAAAGGCCUGGUGUCAGCUGAGUGAAAGGAAAGAGCAUGAGAAGAGCUAGAUCUGAAAUCCAGAUUGGCCACUUUUUAAGCUUACUAGAGUUUUGGACUGCAAUUGGAACAGAUGGGAAUCUGAAAACAGUGCUCUCCUCCUGUGAACCCACCAGAGAUCUUCCUUGAUGAAAUGACGAUUCAGGACUUCCCUGGUGGCUCAGUGGUUGAGAAUCCGCCUGCCAAUACAAGGGACAUGGGUUCGAUACCUGGCCCGGGAAGAUCUCACAUGCCG